AACCUAGUGUGGUGGCUGGCAGAGAGCGAGGACUGAAAAAUGUUCGUUGAAAGGAUGAAGGAACGACUGAUAGCUGCGUUUCCUGGCACACACGGUGCUUCCUAAGUCAUGGUUUAGGGCUACAUGAGUGAACGGCUCCGCUGCAUCCCAGCGUUGUGUCUCUACGAGAGCCAUGGCUGCUGGAGCGUUGCUGUCAGGGCUGAGGCAUCACGAUGCUUCUGUGUCCUGCGCCGCAUUCUAAAGGCUGCUGUGUGAGGGUCAGAGCCACCCGGACGCUAGCAACUGGCAUCGCAUCCCCACUGUCUCCAGCCCCUCGACUGCUGUUCCCUCUCUUUCUGCCUGUGCUUCCUCUCCCCAGCUCAACGUGGCUCUGUUGAGGUCACCUUGCUGCAUCUCGCCUCUUUCCCUCCACGGCUUGGAUCUAUUAUCCCUGGGAAGUACUCCACCUGUGGGAGUCUAUCUGCCUCUCUGCCAUGAUCCAGUCUCUCCCAGACCUUUCAGCUCCCUCAUUAAAUAUUGAACAAAAAAUUAAUGGGCACCUGGUGUGCAGGAGGGACUGUGCAAUCGACUGCGAUACAGUGAAGAGUCACAUAGACAUGGCCCCUUCUCACGGAGACCUGCACCUGGGGCAGAGCACAGCGAUCCAAUAAUGACUUACCUAAAGGCUUAGUUACAACCAAGGCAAGUGUCGUGAAGAAAGCACCGCUUCACAUCCCCCACAUCUUCCAGGUCUGCAGAUGCUUCCUCUUCCAAAGGACGCAGCUCCGAUGUGCCUUCUGGGAGGCACCACAGAGAUGCUUGGCACGCGUCUCCCACUGCCCUUCCUUCUCGACUUCACUGCAGGAAUCGCCCUGCAGUGGCACCACUUCUUCUCAAGUCUGACAGUAAGCCCCUGCAGACCAGAUGCCACAUCUUCCUACAGGUGCUGGAGAGGAGGGCGUAGCCUCCAUGUAGCCCUCAGUGAACGACAGACCCGAGGCAUCCACCAAUGCUCAUUAAAGUGGUUUCCAAGCGUUCCAGAAUAUGUGGGAGAAAAUAUACCCUUGGAAAUGUUGAAAUGUUUUAUAAGCAAGCACAUCCAGUUCCUGGGCAGCUCCAACUUGCUUGGCUCUCAUUUGCCCGACGGCUCAGCUGCAAUGCUGCCAAGGAAAACAGUCAUUGAAAGUCACACAGGAAGGAUGCCUUUCCCAGCUUCUCCCUCACGCCUCUCGGUGGUACCAUGUGGGUCACUCUUGCUGUGGAAGGCCCAGCCCAGUGAGAUUGGAUCUGAUUGUUUGUUGGUGUCAUUUAUGUCUGCAAUAGAUGUCUAA
rnacentral:lncRNA from 1 species